rnacentral:misc_RNA from 1 species
GAAAUGCGAUAACUAGUGUGAAUUGCAGAAUUCCGUGAAUCAUCGAGUCUUUGAACGCACAUUGCGCCCCCUGGUAUUCCGGGGGGCAUGCCUGUCCGAGCGUCAUUGCUGCCCAUCAAGCACGGCUUGUGUGUUGGGUCGUCGUCCCCUCUUCGGGGGGGACGGGCCCCAAAGGCAGCGGCGGCACCGCGUCCGAUCCUCGAGCGUAUGGGGCUUUGUCACCCGCUCUGUAGGCCCGGCCGGCGCUUGCCGAACGCAAAACAACCAUUCUUUCCAGGUUGACCUCGGAUCAGGUAGGGAUACCCGCUGAACUUAAGC